UUGGGAUAGCUCAGUCCAUAGAGCAUGAGACUCUGAAUCACAGGGUUGUGGGUUCGAGUCCCACACUGGGCAAAA
rnacentral:tRNA from 1 species